rnacentral:rRNA from 2 species
GCUGGAGCUUGCUCCAGCAGGUUAGCGGCGGACGGGUGAGUAACACGUGGGCAACCUGCCUGUAAGACUGGGAUAACUCCGGGAAACCGGAGCUAAUACCGGAUAGUAUCUUGAACCGCAUGGUUCAAGUUGGAAAGACGGUUUCGGCUGUCACUUACAGAUGGGCCCGCGGCGCAUUAGCUAGUUGGUGAGGUAAUGGCUCACCAAGGCAACGAUGCGUAGCCGACCUGAGAGGGUGAUCGGCCACACUGGGACUGAGACACGGCCCAGACUCCUACGGGAGGCAGCAGUAGGGAAUCUUCCGCAAUGGACGAAAGUCUGACGGAGCAACGCCGCGUGAGUGAUGAAGGUUUUCGGAUCGUAAAACUCUGUUGUUAGGGAAGAACAAGUGCGAGAGUAACUGCUCGCACCUUGACGGUACCUAACCAGAAAGCCACGGCUAACUACGUGCCAGCAGCCGCGGUAAUACGUAGGUGGCAAGCGUUGUCCGGAAUUAUUGGGCGUAAAGCGCGCGCAGG